rnacentral:rRNA from 1 species
AGUGAACGCUGGCGGUAGGCCUAACACAUGCAAGUCGAACGGCAGCACAGUAAGAGCUUGCUCUUACGGGUGGCGAGUGGCGGACGGGUGAGGAAUACAUCGGAAUCUACUUUUUCGUGGGGGCUAACGUAGGGAAACUUACGCUAAUACCGCAUACGACCUACGGGUGAAAGCAGGGGAUCUUCGGACCUUGCGCGAUUGAAUGAGCCGAUGUCGGAUUAGCUAGUUGGCGGGGUAAAGGCGCACCAAGGCGACGAUCCGUAGCUGGUCUGAGAGGAUGAUCAGCCACACUGGAACUGAGACACGGUCCAGACUCCUACGGGAGGCAGCAGUGGGGAAUAUUGGGCAAUGGGCGCAAGCCUGAUCCAGCCAUACCGCGUGAGUGAAGAAGGCCUUCGGGUUGUAAAGCCAUUUUGUUGGGAAAGAAAAGCAGCAGGUUAAUACGCCGCUGUUCUGACGGUACCCAAAGAAUAAGCACCGGCUAACUUCGUG